GCAGUCGAACGAUGAUGCCAGCUUGCUGGUGGAUUAGUGGCGAACGGGUGAGUAACACGUGAGUAACCUGCCCUUAACUCUGGGAUAAGCCUGGGAAACUGGGUCUAAUACCGGAUAUGACUCCUCAUCGCAUGGUGGGGGGUGGAAAGCUUUUUGUGGUUUUGGAUGGACUCGCGGCCUAUCAGCUUGUUGGUGAGGUAAUGGCUCACCAAGGCGACGACGGGUAGCCGGCCUGAGAGGGUGACCGGCCACACUGGGACUGAGACACGGCCCAGACUCCUACGGGAGGCAGCAGUGGGGAAUAUUGCACAAUGGGCGCAAGCCUGAUGCAGCGACGCCGCGUGAGGGAUGACGGCCUUCGGGUUGUAAACCUCUUUCAGUAGGGAAGAAGCGAAAGUGACGGUACCUGCAGAAGAAGCGCCGGCUAACUACGUGCCAGCAGCCGCGGUAAUACGUAGGGCGCAAGCGUUAUCCGGAAUUAUUGGGCGUAAAGAGCUCGUAGGCGGUUUGUCGCGUCUGCCGUGAAAGUCCGGGGCUCAACUCCGGAUCUGCGGUGGGUACGGGCAGACUAGAGUGAUGUAGGGGAGACUGGAAUUCCUGGUGUAGCGGUGAAAUGCGCAGAUAUCAGGAGGAACACCGAUGGCGAAGGCAGGUCUCUGGGCAUUAACUGACGCUGAGGAGCGAAAGCAUGGGGAGCGAACAGGAUUAGAUACCCUGGUAGUCCAUGCCGUAAACGUUGGGCACUAGGUGUGGGGGACAUUCCACGUUUUCCGCGCCGUAGCUAACGCAUUAAGUGCCCCGCCUGGGGAGUACGGCCGCAAGGCUAAAACUCAAAGGAAUUGACGGGGGCCCGCACAAGCGGCGGAGCAUGCGGAUUAAUUCGAUGCAACGCGAAGAACCUUACCAAGGCUUGACAUGGACCGGACCGCCGCAGAAAUGUGGUUUCCCCUUUGGGGCCGGUUCACAGGUGGUGCAUGGUUGUCGUCAGCUCGUGUCGUGAGAUGUUGGGUUAAGUCCCGCAACGAGCGCAACCCUCGUUCUAUGUUGCCAGCGCGUUAUGGCGGGGACUUAUAGGAGACUGCCGGGGUCAACUCGGAGGAAGGUGGGGACGACGUCAAAUCAUCAUGCCCCUUAUGUCUUGGGCUUCACGCAUGCUACAAUGGCCGGUACAAAGGGAUGGGAUACUGUGAGGUGGAGCUAAUCCCAAAAAGC
rnacentral:rRNA from 1 species